CCUACGGGUGGCUGCAGUGGGGGAUAUUGCACAAUGGGCGCAACCCUGAUGCAGCGACGCCGCGUGGGUGAAGGAGCGUUUCGGCGCGUAAAGCUCUAUCGGCAGGGAAGAAGAUGACGGUACCUGACCAAGAAGCCCCGGCUAACUACUUGCCAGCAGCCGCGGUCAUACGUAGGGGGAACGCGUUAGCCGGAUUGACUGGGUGUAAAGGGGGCGCAGACGGCAAUGCAAGCCAGGAGUGAAAGCCCGGGGCCCAACCCCGGGACUGCUCUUGAAACUGCAUGGCUGGAGUACAGGAGGGGCAGGCGGAAUUCCUAGUGUAGCGGUGAAAUGCGUAGAUAUUAGGAGGAACACCGGUGGCGAAGGCGGCCUGCUGGACUGUGACUGACGUUGAGGCCCGAAGGCGUGGGGAGCAAACAGGAUUAGAUACCCUUGUAGUC
rnacentral:rRNA from 1 species